AGAGUUUGAUCAUGGCUCAGAUUGAACGCUGGCGGCAGGCCUAACACAUGCAAGUCGAGCGGAUGAGAGGAGCUUGCUCCUUGAUUCAGCGGCGGACGGGUGAGUAAUGCCUAGGAAUCUGCCUGGUAGUGGGGGAUAACGUUCCGAAAGGAACGCUAAUACCGCAUACGUCCUACGGGAGAAAGCAGGGGACCUUCGGGCCUUGCGCUAUCAGAUGAGCCUAGGUCGGAUUAGCUAGUUGGUGAGGUAAUGGCUCACCAAGGCGACGAUCCGUAACUGGUCUGAGAGGAUGAUCAGUCACACUGGAACUGAGACACGGUCCAGACUCCUACGGGAGGCAGCAGUGAGGAAUAUUGGUCAAUGGACGAGAGUCUGAACCAGCCAAGUAGCGUGAAGGAUGACUGCCCUAUGGGUUGUAAACUUCUUUUAUAAGGGAAUAAAGUGAGGGACGUGUCCCUUUUUGUAUGUACCUUAUGAAUAAGGAUCGGCUAACUCCGUGCCAGCAGCCGCGGUAAU
rnacentral:rRNA from 1 species